rnacentral:misc_RNA from 1 species
AUUCCUGUUUGUGUUACGUAGUUUUUGACGGUGGAAGUUACAAUCAGAAAACGUUAUAAGAACGCGUAUAAAAUUUAUAAAAAGCAAUAAUGUAUGCUCUAGAAGAUGAUCAAUAUGACGAUGAAGAUGCAGAAGAGAUUUCGUCAAAACUUUGGCAAGAAGCAUGUUGGAUCGUUAUUAAUGCUUAUUUUGAUGAGAAAGGUCUUGUACGUCAACAACUUGACAGUUUUGAUGAAUUUAUUGAAAUGUCUGUUCAAAGAAUCGUUGAAGAUUCACCACAAAUUGAUUUACAAGCAGAGGCACAACAUACUUCUGGUGAAAUAGAAAAUCCAGUUAGACAUUUGUUGAAGUUUGAACAAAUUUACUUAUCUAAGCCUACACAUUGGGAGAAAGAUGGAGCCCCAUCUCCUAUGAUGCCUAACGAAGCAAGACUUAGAAAUUUAACAUAUUCAGCACCAUUAUAUGUAGAUAUUACUAAAACGAUUGUAAAAGAUGGAGAAGAUCCUAUCGAAACACAACAUCAAAAAACAUUUAUAGGAAAAAUUCCAAUUAUGUUGAGAUCAAAAUAUUGUUUACUAGCUGGUUUAUCUGAUCGUGAUUUGACAGAAUUAAAUGAGUGUCCAUUAGAUCCUGGAGGUUAUUUUAUUAUUAAUGGAUCAGAAAAAGUGCUAAUUGCGCAAGAAAAAAUGGCAACUAAUACUGUUUAUGUAUUUAGUAUGAAAGAUGGCAAAUAUGCAUAUAAAUCAGAAAUUCGAUCUUGUUUAGAACAUAGUUCACGUCCAACAUCUACAUUAUGGAUUAAUAUGAUGGCAAAAAGUGGAGCUAGUAUUAAAAAAUCUGCUAUAGGACAACGUAUUAUUGCAAUUAUACCAUACAUUAAACAAGAAAUUCCUAUUAUGAUUGUUUUUCGAGCACUUGGAUUUGUAGCUGAUCGUGAUAUUUUAGAACAUAUUAUAUAUGAUUUUGAUGACCCUGAAAUGAUGGAAAUGGUGAAACCUUCACUAGAUGAAGCUUUUGUAAUACAAGAGCAAAAUGUAGCUUUAAAUUUUAUUGGUACAAGAGGUGCAAGACCUGGAGUAACGAAAGAAAAACGUAUUAAAUAUGCUAGAGAAAUUUUACAGAAAGAAAUGCUUCCACAUGUAGGCAUAAGUGAUUUUUGUGAAACUAAAAAAGCUUAUUUCCUUGGUUAUAUGGUACAUCGAUUACUUUCAGCAUCUCUUGGCAGGAGAGAGUUAGACGACAGAGAUCAUUAUGGAAAUAAAAGAUUAGAUUUAGCUGGCCCAUUAUUGGCAUUUUUAUUUAGAGGUUUAUUUAAAAACUUAAUGAAAGAGGUGCGGUUGUAUGCACAGAAGUUUAUAGACAGAGGAAAGGAUUUUAACCUUGAACUUGCUAUAAAAACUAAAAUUAUUACCGACGGUUUAAGAUAUUCACUUGCAACAGGUAAUUGGGGUGAUCAAAAGAAAGCUCAUCAAGCUAGAGCUGGUGUGUCACAAGUAUUAAAUAGAUUAACAUUUGCAUCAACACUAUCUCAUUUACGAAGAGUAAAUUCUCCAAUUGGAAGAGAUGGAAAACUAGCUAAACCUCGUCAGUUACAUAAUACUCUAUGGGGUAUGUUGUGUCCAGCAGAAACCCCUGAAGGUGCGGCUGUAGGUUUAGUAAAAAAUCUGGCAUUAAUGGCUUAUAUUAGCGUUGGAUCUCAGCCUUCUCCAAUUCUUGAAUUCUUGGAGGAGUGGUCUAUGGAAAAUUUAGAAGAAAUUGCACCAAGUGCAAUAGCAGAUGCAACAAAAAUAUUUGUAAAUGGUUGUUGGGUUGGUAUUCAUAGAGACCCAGAUCAAUUAAUGGCUACUUUACGUAAAUUAAGACGACAGAUGGACAUCAUUGUAUCAGAAGUAUCUAUGAUAAGAGAUAUUAGAGAUCGUGAAAUCAGAAUAUAUACAGAUGCUGGAAGAAUUAGUAGGCCUUUAUUAAUCGUAGAAGGACAAAAUCUUUUAUUAAAGAAAAGACAUAUUGACAUGCUGAAGGAAAGAGAUUAUAAUAAUGACGGUUGGCAAGAACUAGUUGGCAGUGGAGUUGUUGAAUAUAUUGAUACUUUAGAAGAAGAAACUGUCAUGAUUGCAAUGUCACCUGAAGAUCUAAGACAGGAAAAGGAGUAUGCUUAUUGUACAACAUAUACACAUUGUGAAAUUCACCCAGCAAUGAUUUUAGGAGUAUGUGCAUCAAUCAUUCCAUUUCCUGAUCAUAAUCAGAGUCCAAGAAACACUUAUCAAAGUGCUAUGGGUAAACAAGCUAUGGGAGUAUACAUUACAAAUUUUCAUGUUCGAAUGGAUACUUUGGCACAUGUACUAUAUUAUCCUCAUAAACCUUUAGUUACUACAAGAUCUAUGGAAUAUCUUAGAUUUCGUGAAUUGCCAGCUGGAAUUAAUAGUAUAGUUGCUAUAUUGUGUUACACGGGUUAUAAUCAAGAAGACAGUGUUAUUUUAAAUGCUAGUGCUGUUGAAAGAGGAUUCUUUCGAUCUGUAUUUUAUAGAUCUUAUAAAGAUUCAGAGUCUAAACGAAUUGGUGAUCAAGAAGAACAAUUUGAAAAACCUACACGACAAACUUGUCAAGGAAUGCGUAAUGCUAUUUAUGAUAAAUUGGAUGAUGAUGGAAUUAUUGCUCCAGGUAUUCGAGUAUCUGGAGAUGACGUAGUUAUAGGUAAAACUAUUACUUUACCAGAAGCAGAUGAUGAGUUGGAUAGUACAACAAAACGUUUUACAAAACGAGAUGCAUCAACUUUCUUACGUAAUAGUGAAACUGGUAUAGUAGAUCAAGUAAUGUUAACAUUAAAUAGUGAAGGAUAUAAAUUUUGUAAAAUACGAGUACGUAGUGUUCGUAUACCACAAAUCGGUGAUAAAUUUGCUUCACGUCAUGGACAAAAAGGCACGUGUGGAAUUCAAUAUAGACAGGAAGAUAUGCCAUUUUCAUGUGAAGGACUUACACCAGAUAUAAUAAUUAAUCCUCACGCUAUUCCAUCGCGUAUGACAAUUGGUCACUUGAUUGAAUGUAUACAAGGAAAAGUGUCAGCUAAUAAAGGUGAAAUUGGUGAUGCCACUCCGUUUAAUGAUGCUGUAAAUGUACAGAAAAUUUCCACACUUUUACAAGAAUAUGGAUAUCAACUAAGAGGAAAUGAAGUUAUGUAUAAUGGCCAUACAGGCCGCAAGAUAAACGCACAAGUGUUUUUAGGUCCAACUUAUUAUCAGCGUUUGAAACAUAUGGUAGAUGAUAAAAUUCAUAGUAGAGCUCGAGGUCCUGUGCAGAUUUUGGUUAGACAACCAAUGGAAGGUAGAGCAAGAGAUGGUGGUUUACGAUUCGGUGAAAUGGAACGUGAUUGUCAGAUUUCCCAUGGAGCUGCACAAUUUUUAAGAGAACGUUUAUUUGAAGUCUCAGAUCCAUAUCGAAUACACAUAUGUAAUUUUUGUGGUUUAAUUGCAAUAGCAAAUUUAAGGAAUAAUACAUUCGAAUGUAAGGGAUGUAAAAACAAAACACAGAUCUCUCAAGUUAGAUUACCAUAUGCAGCAAAGUUACUUUUCCAAGAACUUAUGGCAAUGAAUAUUGCACCUCGAUUAAUGGUAGCAUAAACAUCGAUAUAUUUAUUUCCAUAGUAUUAUGAAUUUUACAUUUGAGCAUCCUAAUUAUAUAUUGUACGAGACAUACGUCUAAAAUACAAAAUUUUGCCCUACAUACUGGGCAUGUACAUUUGGAUGUCAACCACGUUUCAGGU